rnacentral:pre_miRNA from 1 species
UGUUCCUUUGGAGUUCCCUUGACCACUUCAUUGGCUAGCUUGAGCUCUAAAGAUGUAUUGCUCGUCUUUAAAGAGCUCGAAGUAUCAUCUAAGCUACUGAAGUGUUUGGGGGAACUCUAAUGGUGCC